GUGAAUCAUCAAAUUUUUGAACGCAAAUUGCACUUUCUGGUAUUCCGGAAAGUAUGCCUGUUUGAGGGUCAGUUAAAUAAAAAUCGGUGUUGUUGCUGCCUUUCGUGGUGACACGUCGGAAUUGGGUCGUCUUACCUUCGGUUAAGUGACUUAAAAUUUUUUGAUGGAUUUUGGACGUAAUUUAAUCGGCUUAGGAAGGUUUAG
rnacentral:misc_RNA from 1 species